rnacentral:rRNA from 1 species
AUUGAACGCUGGCGGAAUGCUUUACACAUGCAAGUCGAACGGCAGCACGGACUUCGGUCUGGUGGCGAGUGGCGAACGGGUGAGUAAUGUAUCGGAACGUGCCCAGUCGUGGGGGAUAACGUAGUGAAAAUUACGCUAAUACCGCAUACGAUCUAUGGAUGAAAGCGGGGGAUCGCAAGACCUCGCGCGAUUGGAGCGGCCGAUAUCAGAUUAGGUAGUUGGUGGGGUAAAGGCCCACCAAGCCAACGAUCUGUAGCUGGUCUGAGAGGACGACCAGCCACGCUGGAACUUCGACACGGUCCAGACGCCUACGGGAGGCAGCAGUGGGGAAUUGUGGACAAGGGGCGAAAGCCUGAUCCAGCCAUUCCGCGUGCAGGAUGAAGGCCCUCGGGUUGUAAACUGCUUUUGUACAGAACGAAAAGGUUUCUACUAAUACUAGGAGCUCAUGACGGUACUGUAAGAAUAAGCACCGGCUAACUACGUGCCAGCCGCCGCCGUAA